AGUGAACGCUGGCGGUAGGCCUAACACAUGCAAGUCGAACGGCAGCACAGUAAGAGCUUGCUCUUACGGGUGGCGCGUGGCGGACGGGUGAGGAAUACAUCGGAAUCUACUUUUUCGUGGGGGAUAACGUAGGGAAACUUACGCUAAUACCGCAUACGACCUACGGGUGAAAGCAGGGGAUCUUCGGACCUUGCGCGAUUGAAUGAGCAGAUGUCGGAUUAGCUAGUUGGCGGGGUAAAGGCCCACCAAGGCGACGAUCCGUAGCUGGUCUGAGAGGAUGAGCAGCCACACUGGAACUGAGACACGGUCCAGACUCCUACGGGAGGCAGCAGUGGGGAAUAUUGGACAAUGGGCGCAAGCCUGAUCCAGCCAUACCGCGUGGGUGAAGAAGGCCUUCGGGUUGUAAAGCCCUUUUGUUGGGAAAGAAAAGCAGCAGGUUAAUACCCCGCUGUUCUGACGGUACCCAAAGAAUAAGCACCGGCUAACUUCGUG
rnacentral:rRNA from 1 species